CUUGAGUGGUCGCCGGCCGCGGGCAGAGCGGCGCGGGGAGCGGUCCAUCUCUGCGCCUGAGAGGCGGCCUUGAUCGUCCCGUUCCGGCCUCCAGUGGACGGCGGCGCCGCGGGGGUCAGCAGGAGGCCUGUGGCAGAGCCCACGUCCGCCUGACUGCCCGUCCGUGUCCUUUCCUGUCUGGAAGCGCCUUCGCCUGCGGGGCUCUGAGCUUUAUUAUCACGUUCGCCGCCCGCCAUGUGAUCCUCACUGUACAGCCCACAGAGCAGCGACACAUCUGUCGCCUCACCUUCCCUGAAGCUCCAUGAGUGCGAAGAUCAGGGAUGGACGUGCCUGCGCCCAAGCCCAGCGCGCCGCUUACUGGGACCCAGCCAGGCCCGUUCCUUUGCGGGUGGUCCCUGCCUGCGUCCCCGGAAGGGCGGAGUUGCGUGGGUGGAACAGAGACAGUCUGGCCUGGGAAGCCUAAAAUAUGUACUGUCCGGCCCUCUACGAAAAAAGACUGCGGACUCUUGAAGUAGAUUAUCCCCAUUUUACAGAUGAGGAACCUGAGGCAUCUCGCUUGGGCACGGUGCCCAGCUCCUGUGUCCCCAGCUAGCCCUGGAACAAGAUGGGACGCCUCUCCCUGUGCAUUUCCCAUUACGGCUCCUGCUUAUUACAGAUUCUCCCCAGUGGGUCUGGCCAGUUCUCCCAAGUGGAUCUGGCCUCUGUGUCAGGCUUUCUCUUCGUUCCAGCCCCCAGGGGAGGAGAAAGUACGGCUCACCUCCUGAGUGGAAAGCCAGAUCCAGAAUGUGAGAUACUCUACAAGGCAAAUGAUGUGGUUUCUAUA
rnacentral:lncRNA from 1 species